rnacentral:rRNA from 1 species
ACGAAGGGGGCUAGCGUUGCUCGGAAUCACUGGGCGUAAAGGGCGCGUAGGCGGCGUUUUAAGUCGGGGGUGAAAGCCUGUGGCUCAACCACAGAAUGGCCUUCGAUACUGGGACGCUUGAGUAUGGUAGAGGUUGGUGGAACUGCGAGUGUAGAGGUGAAAUUCGUAGAUAUUCGCAAGAACACCGGUGGCGAAGGCGGCCAACUGGACCAUCACUGACGCUGAGGCGCGAAAGCGUGGGGAGCAAACAG